rnacentral:lncRNA from 1 species
GGCUGUAUCAAGGCUCCUGAGGGCAUUGAGCCCCUGGUGUACUUGUGUCAAACAGACACAGAAGCUGUGAGGGAAGCUGCCCGGCAGAGCCUCCAGCAGUGUGGUGAGACCGGGAAGUGGGAGACACAAGUUAAGGGGAUUUGGGAUCUUGGCUAUUGGGUGUGGGGUGAGGUAAUGCCAGGGAAGGGAAGGCCCAGAAGAUGCCAGGGCCACUCUUGACCCUUAUCUUUUUGUACAUAACAGGGGAAGAAGGACAGUCUGCUCAUCGCCAGCUAGAGGAGUCCCUGGAUGCCCUGCCCUGCCUCUUUGGGCCCAGCAGCAUGGCCAGCACAGCAUUCUGAACUCUGAUUGCCAGCUCCCAGUGCUCCUUCCCUCAUUUUCAGGGCUCACUAGGCACUGGCAGGGAGGGUGAGGGCUGGUUCCAGUCACCUCUCCCCACAAAUUCCUAUCAAUGAAAAUCUAAUAUAUUCUUCUGUUAUCACUGGGGUUGGUAGAAUGCCUGAAAUGAAGUGCCUCCCAGCCGGUUCUGCAUAGCCACAAACAGUGUCAGGGGCCUGACCGUUUGGUCAGCUUGCUCUGCCUCACCACAUCCCUUGGUUUUGUAUUUUAUUUACAGAGUUUUACAGAUAAUAAAAAAGCAAAAUGUGUUUCCUACGUGGCUUGGUGCACGCCCGAGCCUCUGCUCC